rnacentral:lncRNA from 1 species
AUGGGUCCGGCCCACAGCCUUCACAGCAGCCACCCCGAAGACGUAGCUGGUAGGUUUUACUUAAAAACAAACACAUCUGAGUGUUUUCUUUUUCUUGUAACAUUCACAACCAGUCAUUGUCAAAUAUUUGGAGAAUGUGGGAAAGUCUGGGAAGAAAGUGAAAGUCACUUACUACCCAUCACCCAGAGGCAGUCCCUGCGCAAGGCUGAGAGCUGUCUUCUGGCCCGCUCCCGCGGGCGGGCGUGCGCAUGGGGAACGUACGCAUGCGCAGUGUGCGGGUGCGUGUGCCUGCAUGGUGUACAUGUCUGUACGAACGGUGUGCGUGUGCGUGCAUGUGGUGUGCGUGCGCGAUGUGCGUGGCGUGCGUGGUGUGCGUGGCGUGCUGCGUGGGUCGUCAGUGCGCGCGCCCCUCGGCCUCCUCGCCGCAAGGCCACGCGCUUCAGCCGCAGCCACGUGCCCGCGCGCCCCUCAGGACGGAUGACGCCAGACAGGAGCCAGAGUCCAGCCCGCAGACGACGACGUGCGGAGAGGCAGCAGGGCUGUCAGCGGUUCCAUCCGUCCCCGACUGUCUGGGCAGCAUCAGCACCCCCAUCCCAGGCUGCCUGCUGCUCCAAGGGGCGCCUUCCUGUGCGUUCAGGUCUCAGCCCCUGUGGUGGUCUCCCCACCCUGACCCCUCACUGUCCCCGCGUAUCCCCACGGUGGUCCCCCCGCGUGUCCCUGCAGUGGUCUCUCUGCCUGCCCCCGCGGUGGUCUGUCCACCCCCAGCAGCCACAGUGUUCUCUCCAUGUGCCUGACCCGCUGCCCUCACUGCCCUGGGCCCCAGACUCAGACACAGCUGCUCCCCUUCAAGCUCAGACUCCCGAUGGGGUGCGUCCUGCCCCCCGCACUCCUCACACAGAAACCAAGUUCUGUCCUCAAGUCCCCCCAUCCAGGCCGCACGUGCCCAAGCCCAAGACAGCAGUGCCCAUGCGGCUCCCAGCCGUGAUGCUUGCUUCCCGCCACACCCACUGGGUACUGCCCAGGCCCAGCCAGCCCCUUCCCUUGCUGGGAUGA